rnacentral:rRNA from 1 species
UACAGAGGUCUCAAGCGUUGUUCGGAUUCAUUGGGCGUAAAGGGUGCGUAGGUGGCGCGCUAAGUCGGGUGUGAAAUCUCGGAGCUUAACACCGAAAUUGCAUUCGAUACUGGCGUGCUUGAGGACUGGAGAGGAGACUGGAAUUCAUGGUGUAGCAGUGAAAUGCGUAGAGAUCAUGAGGAAGACCAGUGGCGAAGGCGGGUCUCUGGACAGUUCCUGACACUGAGGCACGAAGGCCAGGGGAGCAAAACGGG